rnacentral:rRNA from 1 species
AGAGUUUGAUCAUGGCUCAGGAUGAACGCUAGCGGCAGGCUUAACACAUGCAAGUCGAGGGGUAUAGGUUUUCGGACCUAGAGACCGGCGCACGGGUGCGUAACGCGUAUGCAAUCUACCUUUUACAGAGGGAUAGCCCAGAGAAAUUUGGAUUAAUACCUCAUAGUAUUAUUGAAUGGCAUCAUUUAAUAAUUAAAGUCACAACGGUAAAAGAUGAGCAUGCGUCCCAUUAGCUUGUUGGUAAGGUAACGGCUUACCAAGGCAACGAUGGGUAGGGGUCCUGAGAGGGAGAUCCCCCACACUGGUACUGAGACACGGACCAGACUCCUACGGGAGGCAGCAGUGAGGAAUAUUGGUCAAUGGGCGCAAGCCUGAACCAGCCAUGCCGCGUGCAGGAUGACGGUCCUAUGGAUUGUAAACUGCUUUUGUACAGGAAGAAACAGUUCUACGUGUAGAACCUUGACGGUACUGUAAGAAUAAGGAUCGGCUAACUCCGUGCCAGCAGCCGCGGUAAUACGGAGGAUCCAAGCGUUAUCCGGAAUCAUUGGGUUUAAAGGGUCCGUAGGCGGUUUUGUAAGUCAGUGGUGAAAGCCCAUCGCUCAACGGUGGAACGGCCAUUGAUACUGCAAGACUUGAAUUAUUAGGAAGUAACUAGAAUAUGUAGUGUAGCGGUGAAAUGCUUAGAUAUUACAUGGAAUACCAAUUGCGAAGGCAGGUUACUACUAAUGGAUUGACGCUGAUGGACGAAAGCGUGGGGAGCGAACAGGAUUAGAUACCCUAGUAGUCC